rnacentral:lncRNA from 10 species
AGAGCAGGGUGCUAUUGUGAGGCCAUCUCUGAGCAGUGGACUCAAAAGCAUUUUCAGGCAUGUCAGAGAAGGGAGGACUCACUAGAAUUAGCAAACAAAACCACCCUGACUAAUUCUCUCUUUUGGAAUGUAGAUUUUUUUUAAAUGCUUUACGAUGUAAAAUAUUUAUUUUUUACUUAUUCUGGAAGAUCUGGCUGAAGGAUUAUUCAUGGAACAGGAAGAAGCGUAAAGACUAUCCAUGUCAUCUUUGUUGAGAGUCUUCGUGACUGUAAGAUUGUAAAUACAGAUUAUUUAUUAACUCUGUUCUGCCUGGAAAUUUAGGCUUCAUACGGAAAGUGUUUGAGAGCAAGUAGUUGACAUUUAUCAGCAAAUCUCUUGCAAGAACAGCACAAGGAAAAUCAGUCUAAUAAGCUGCUCUGCCCCUUGUGCUCAGAGUGGAUGUUAUGGGAUUCUUUUUUUCUCUGUUUUAUCUUUUCAAGUGGAAUUAGUUGGUUAUCCAUUUGCAAAUGUUUUAAAUUGCAAAGAAAGCCAUGAGGUCUUCAAUACUGUUUUACCCCAUCCCUUGUGCAUAUUUCCAGGGAGAAGGAAAGCAUAUACACUUUUUUCUUUCAUUUUUCCAAAAGAGAAAAAAAUGACAAAAGGUGAAACUUACAUACAAAUAUUACCUCAUUUGUUGUGUGACUGAGUAAAGAAUUUUUGGAUCAAGCGGAAAGAGUUUAAGUGUCUAACAAACUUAAAGCUACUGUAGUACCUAAAAAGUCAGUGUUGUACAUAGCAUAAAAACUCUGCAGAGAAGUAUUCCCAAUAAGGAAAUAGCAUUGAAAUGUUAAAUACAAUUUCUGAAAGUUAUGUUUUUUUUCUAUCAUCUGGUAUACCAUUGCUUUAUUUUUAUAAAUUAUUUUCUCAUUGCCAUUGGAAUAGAUAUCUCAGAUUGUGUAGAUAUGCUAUUUAAAUAAUUUAUCAGGAAAUACUGCCUGUAGAGUUAGUAUUUCUAUUUUUAUAUAAUGUUUGCACACUGAAUUGAAGAAUUGUUGGUUUUUUCUUUUUUUUGUUUUGUUUUUUUUUUUUUUUUUUUUUGCUUUUGACCUCCCAUUUUUACUAUUUGCCAAUACCUUUUUCUAGGAAUGUGCUUUUUUUUGUACACAUUUUUAUCCAUUUUACAUUCUAAAGCAGUGUAAGUUGUAUAUUACUGUUUCUUAUGUACAAGGAACAACAAUAAAUCAUAUGGAAAUUUAUAUUUAUACUUACUGUAUCCAUGCUUAUUUGUUCUCUACUGGCUUUAUGUCAUGAAGUAUAUGCGUAAAUACCAUUCAUAAAUCAAUAUAGCAUAUACAAAAAUAAAUUACAGUAAGUCAUAGCAACAUUCACAGUUUGUAUGUGAUUGAGAAAGACUGAGUUGCUCAGGCCUAGGCUUAGAAUUUGCUGCGUUUGUGGAAUAAAAGAACAAAAUGAUACAUUAGCCUGCCAUAUCAAAAACAUAUAAAAGAGAAAUUAUCCCUAAGUCAAGGGCCCCCAUAAGAAUAAAAUUUCUUAUUAAGGUCAUUAGAUGUCAUUGAAUCCUUUUCAAAGUGCAGUAUGAAAACAAAGGGAAAAACACUGAAGCACACG